rnacentral:rRNA from 1 species
GAUGAACGCUGGCGGCGUGCUUAACACAUGCAAGUCGAACGGAAAGGCCCGGCUCUUGUGGGUUUCUCGUGUGGCGAGCGGGUGAGUAACACACGAGUGAACCGCCCUUGACUUUGGGAUAACUUCACGAAACUGCGGCUAUUACCGCGUAGAAGCUCUUGAUGCAUGGGGUGGGAUGGAGAGAUUGGGCGGUUGGGGAUGGUAUCGCGGCUUAUGCGCUUGUUGGUGGGGUAGGGGCUGACAAGGGCUUUGAGGGGUAGCCGGCCUUAGAGGGUGACCGGGCUCAUGGGGACUGCGGGAGGGCCCAGAAGGCAACCGUAGGCAACAGUGGAGAAUAUUGCACAGCGGGCGGAAGUCAGAUGCAGCGACGCUGGGAGCGGGAUGACGUCUUACUGGUUGUAAACCGAUUUCGCAGGUGCCGAAGCGUGAGUGACGGUAAUGGGUAAAGAAGCACCGGCUAACUACGUG